rfam:Human gut metagenome DNA, contig sequence: F1-S_028694.
UGUAAGCCAAGGGAACAAAAGUGCAGGUGCUGUUCGUGCUUGCACGAUAAGGCAUCUGACUUUGGUUCCCGCCAAAAACAUGAAGAAGAAGCGAUUUGCAUCGCAAAUCUGCGGAUUCUGAAUGUUUUUAGAAUUGCGGGAGCAGCGUAGCUGCGGAGCAAUUCGUUGGCUUACCA